rnacentral:ncRNA from 1 species
AAAUAAACGAGGAAUGAGAGAGUAAAUAGAAAUUGCUGAUUUACAGGGAAAAAGAUCAUAGACUGAAAGUCUUUUAAUAAAGCGCUAUUGAAGUUCACUCAGGAGUUCUAACUGUGAAUUUAUAGUAGUAGUUAGCGGCAAAGCCGUUAUUUAUAUUAAGCGAACACUAAGUUAAUUAGGGUGGUACCGCGGUUUACCCCGUCCCUUCA